AAUGAACGCUGGCGGCAGGCCUAACACAUGCAAGUCGAACGGAUCCUUCGGGAUUAGUGGCGGACGGGUGAGUAACGCGUGGGAACAUACCCUUUGGUACGGAAUAGCCUCGGGAAACUGGGAGUAAUACCGUAUGUGGUCGAGAGACGAAAGAUUAAUCGCCAAAGGAUUGGCCCGCGUUGGAUUAGGUAGUUGGUGGGGUAAUGGCCUACCAAGCCGACGAUCCAUAGCUGGUUUGAGAGGAUGAUCAGCCACACUGGGACUGAGACACGGCCCAGACUCCUACGGGAGGCAGCAGUGGGGAAUCUUAGACAAUGGGGGAAACCUGAUCUAGCCAUGCCGCGUGAUCGAUGAAGGCCUUAGGGUUGUAAAGAUCUUUCAGGUGGGAAGAUAAUGACUGUACCACCAGAAGAAGCCCCGGCUAACUCCGUGCCAGCAGCCGCCGUAA
rnacentral:rRNA from 1 species